rnacentral:rRNA from 1 species
GAUGAACGCUGGCGGCGUGCCUAAUACAUGCAAGUCGAGCGAACGGACGAGAAGCUUGCUUCUCUGAUGUUAGCGGCGGACGGGUGAGUAACACGUGGGUAACCUACCUAUAAGACUGGGAUAACUUCGGGAAACCGGAGCUAAUACCGGAUAAUAUUUUGAACCGCAUGGUUCAAAAGUGAAAGACGGUCUUGCUGUCACUUAUAGAUGGAUCCGCGCUGCAUUAGCUAGUUGGUAAGGUAACGGCUUACCAAGGCAACGAUGCAUAGCCGACCUGAGAGGGGGAUCGGCCACACUGGAACUGAGACACGGUCCAGACUCCUACGGGAGGCAGCAGUAGGGAAUCUUCCGCAAUGGGCGAAAGCCUGACGGAGCAACGCCGCGUGAGUGAUGAAGGUCUUCGGAUCGUAAAACUCUGUUAUUAGGGAAGAACAUAUGUGUAAGUAACUGUGCACAUCUUGACGGUACCUAAGCAGAAAGCCACGGCUAACUACGU